GAGCUGGGGGAUGUCCACGAUGUCCCGCUCGGUCAGGCCCAGCUCCCGCUUCAGCACCUCCCGGAUCAGAUCGCAGAGGACACGUCUGAA